rnacentral:tRNA from 1 species
GGGCCGGUGGUCUAGUGGCUAUGACACCACCCUUACAAGGUGGUUAUCGUCGGUUCGAAUCCGACUCGGCCCA